ACGGAAGGCAGCAGUAGGGAAUAUUGGUCAAUGGAUGCAAGUCUGAACCAGCCAUGCCGCGUGCAGGAAGAAGGCCUUCUGGGUUGUAAACUGCUUUUGCCAGGGGAUAAAAAGUCCAUGCGUGGACAAUUGAAGGUACCUGGUGAAUAAGCCACGGCUAACUACGUGCCAGCAGCCGCGGUAAUACGUAGGUGGCAAGCGUUGUCCGGAUUUAUUGGGUUUAAAGGGUGCGUAGGCGGCCUAUUAAGUCAGUUCUGAAAUAUCCCGGCUUAACCGGGAGGGUGGGAUUGAUACUGAUGGGCUUGAGUGGAGUCGAGGUAGGCGGAAUUGACGGUGUAGCGGUGAAAUGCUUAGAUAUCGUCAAGAACACCGAUAGUGUAGACAGCUUACUAGACUUCAACUGACGCUGAGGCACGAAAGUGUGGGGAUCAAACAGGAUUAGAUACCCUGGUA
rnacentral:rRNA from 1 species